GGAGAGGUGCCCGAGUGGUUGAAGGGAACAGUCUUGAAAACUGUCGUACUGGAAACAGUACCGUGAGUUCGAAUCUCACCCUCUCCG
rnacentral:tRNA from 1 species